rnacentral:rRNA from 1 species
UACAGAGGUCUCGAGCGUUGUUCGGAUUCAUUGGGCGUAAAGGGCUCGUAGGUGGCCAACUAAGUCAGACGUGAAAUCCCUCGGCUUAACCGGGGAACUGCGUCUGAUACUGGAUGGCUUGAGUUUGGGAGAGGGAUGCGGAAUUCCAGGUGUAGCGGUGAAAUGCGUAGAUAUCUGGAGGAACACCGGUGGCGAAGGCGGCAUCCUGGACCAACACGUGACACUGAGGAGC